CAACGUCAGCAAAAGGCGGCACCCCCUGAGAGUCAUGAUAUUAUUCCUGAUAAAGAGAAAGCAGUUGCAGAAGCACCUAUGGAUCAUGGUGAAGCACCUGACCUGGAAGCUGGUAUCCAGAAAUUGCCUCUGCCAAAGACUGAGGAUAUUAGUGAAGAUGACACGGAUGUGAAGGGGGCAGAUUUCCCAACUGUGGAGCCCGUGAAAAUGCCUGAAGCAGGUGAAGGACAAUCGAAGGUUUAAGCAAGAUGAAG